rnacentral:lncRNA from 1 species
AUAAAACGUGUAUCGGUGUAUAUAUUUCUCAAAACCCUAGGCCAAUUUGGGUUUGUCGCUUGUCUUUCGAUUUAGGCGUUUACGAAAUCGAAGAACCGUAACUGAAGAAGAACAAAGAUGAAGACGAACGGUAAGAAAGUGAAGAAAGAAGGAGAAGACAGAAUAAGCAGAUUGCCUUGUGAGUUGCACCUUGCCAAAAGCAUUCUCGAGUUUGCCGGCAUUAACUAAUCUACAUCUCAACAGUGUUCGAAUUUAUGAAGACAAAAGAAUGUUCUUUUCGGAACUUGUGAAUUUGAAGAAUCUCACUAUGGAGAGAUGCGAAAUCCAGCAGAAAGUUAUCAAUGUAUCAUCUCUUCAGCUCACUAAUCUGACUAUCAAAUAUUCAGGGGAAGUAGAUAAGUUCCGAAUAUUAGAGAUAAGUUUAAAUCCUUCUUUCUUCACUUUCUUAGAGAUAAGUUUAAAUAUAUUUGGGCGGGAAUUUUUAAACUUAUCUCUAAGAUUUUUUCUAUUUCAACACGGAAAUUUAUAUUUCAUAAGGUUUCCAUACAUCUUUAAGGGGUAAAAAAGUUUACAAAAUUCGAGUACAGUUUGGUUACUUUUCCGGUCUAAUUUUUUAAUCGGAUGAGUAAGGUGUUUAGUACUUCAACUUUUCCACUUUUAAACAUUCCGACUUUCACAGCAUAAGGAAGCCUUAAUUGAGCCCAUAGCUCAUGAGUGGCUCAGUCCACAGACCUUUGUUACAAGUUACAAUAAUGGUUGUGAGUUUUUCUAUUUCAACACGGAAAUUUAUAUUUCAUAAGGUUUCCAUACAUCUUUAAGGGGUAAAAAAGUAUACAAAAUUUGAGUACAGUUUGGUUACUUUUCCCGUCUAGUUUUUCAAUCGGAUGAGUAAGGUGUUUAGUACUUCAACUUUACCACUUUUAAACAUUCCGAUUUUCACAGCAUAAGGAAGCCUUAAUUGAGCCCAUAGCUCAUGAGUGGCUCAGUCCACAGACCUUUGUUACAAGUUACAAUAAUGGUUGUGAAU